AUGCCAUCUCAAAUGGAACACGCAUGGAAACCAUGAUGUUCACGUUUCACAACUUUGCUGGGGAUAAAGGCUACUUAACAAAGGAGGACCUGAGAGUACUCAUGGAAAAGGAGUUCCCUGGAUUUUUGGAAAAUCAAAAAGACCCUCUGGCCGUGGACAAAAUAAUGAAGGACCUGGACCAGUGCCGAGACGGCAAAGUGGGCUUCCAGAGCUUCUUCUCGCUAAUUGCUGGGCUCACCAUCACAUGCAAUGACUAUUUUGUAAUACACAUGAAGCAGAAGGGAAAGAAGUAGGCAACAUGAGCAACACUCCCGCCCGCCCAAUGAGAGUUCUCCCGAAGGGUCUCUAGGAAUCUGUCCCACAGCUUCCCCCUGUAUAAAGGAUUCCAUGAGCAGAUUGGGACCCUCAGAAAAUGUACAAAUAAAAUCCAACCCCCAUUUGAGAAGCAAAAAA